rnacentral:rRNA from 1 species
CAAAGGUAGCAUAAUCAUUAGUUUUUUAAUUGAAAACUUGUAUGAAUGGUUGGACAAGAAAAUUUCUGUCUUUGUAGUAGAAAUUGAAUUUAACUUUUAAGUGAAAAGGCUUAAAUUUUUCAAGGGGACGAUAAGACCCUAAAAACUUUAUAAAUUAUCUAAAUUUUAUAAAAUUAAUUAAUAAUUAUCGAAUUUAGGUGUUAUAUUUUGUUGGGGCGACAUAGGUAUAAUUAAUUAUUAACUGCUUAUAUUUUUAACAUAUAUAAAUGAUUGUGUAAAUGAUCCUUAUUAAAGAUUCAAGUUUAAGUUACUUUAGGGGUAACAGCGUCAUUUUCUUUGAGAGUUCAUAUCGAAAGGAGAGUUUGCGACCUCGAUGUUGAAUUAAAUUUCUUUUUAGUGCAGAAGCUAAGGAAAGAGGGUCUGUUC